rnacentral:rRNA from 1 species
GACGUAGGAGGCGAGCGUUGUCCGGAUUCAUUGGGCGUAAAGCGCACGCAGGCGGUUUGGCAAGUCGGAUGUGAAAGCCCGGAGCUCAACUCCGGACCUGCAUCCGAAACUGCCCGACUAGAGGUAGGUAGGGGAGAUCGGAAUUCCUGGUGUAGCGGUGAAAUGCGCAGAUAUCAGGAGGAACACCGGUGGCGAAGGCGGAUCUCUGGGCCUUACCUGACGCUCAGGUGCGAAAGCUAGGGGAGCGAACAGG